rnacentral:tRNA from 1 species
GGCAUGGUGGUGGGCCUGCUCAUCACCGUCUAUUACAUGGUGCGGGUGCAGUUCGAUUCCGUGCCCUGGCUC